CGAUCGGUUAUGAUAGAGAAGAGUAGGAUGUGGAUUGACUUACAGAGAAGAAAUGCCAUAGGCUGAGAGCAUUUCUAAGUUUCAAAGCAUCUGAAGUUCCCUCUUGAACUAUAGAAUUGAAAGUUUUAGUAGAUUCUAUCGGUGGACGCCGUUAAGUCGAAUGAGUGGUUGGUUUCAACUAUUAGGGUGGUACCGCGGAGAAGUCUUCGUCCCUUUG
rnacentral:ncRNA from 1 species